UACGGAGGGGGCAAGCGUUGUUCGGAUUUACUGGGCGUAAAGGGCGCGUAGGCGGCGCAACAAGUCACUUGUGAAUCUCCGGGCUUAACUCGGAACUGCCCAAGUGAUACUGUAGUGCUAGAGUGCAGAAGGGGCAAUCGGAAUUCUUGGUGUAGCGGUGAAAUGCGUAGAGAUCGGGAGGAACACCGGCGGCGAAGGCGGCUGCCUGGACCGUCCUGACGCUGAGGAGCGAAAGCGUGGGGAGCAACAGG
rnacentral:rRNA from 1 species